rnacentral:rRNA from 1 species
UACGUAGGAGACGAGCGUUGUCCGGAGUUACUGGGCGUAAAGCGUGCGCAGGCGGUUCGUUGUGUCGGCGGUGAAAGCCCCGGGCUUAACCUGGGAAUGGCCGUUGAAACUGGCGAACUGGAGUGUGGCAGAGGGGGGUGGAAUUCCGGCGUGGUAGCAGUGAAAUGCGUAGAGAUGCGGAGGAACACCGAUGGCGAAGGCAGCCCCCUGGGCUAACACUGACGCUCAGGCACGAAAGCGUGGGGAGCAACAGGG